rnacentral:rRNA from 1 species
GACGAACGCUGGCGGCGUGCUUAACACAUGCAAGUCGAACGGAAAGGCCUUUUCGGAGUUACUCGGGUGGCGAACGGGUGAGUAACACGUGGGAGAUGUGCCCUACACUCUCGGUUAUGCCUGGUAAACUGGGUCUAAUAUCGGUAAGGAGGGCACUUUUGUGUCUGUGGCGGAAAGGGUUUUCGGUGCAGGUUGUGUCCGCGGCCGAUCGGCUCGCUGCGGGGGUGAUGGCUUGCCAAGGCGUUGACUGGUAGCCCGGCCGAGAGGGUGGUGGGCCACAUUGGGGCUGAGAAACGGCCCAGGCAGCUACGGGAGGCGGCAGUGGGGAGUAUUGCAGAAGGGGCGCAAGCCUGAUGCAGAGAGGCGGCGUGGGGGAGGACGGCCUUCGGGUUGUAGACUCCUUUCGGCAGGGACUAAGCGUUUUGUGACGGUACCUGGAGAAGAAGCACCGGCUAACUACGUG